AUGAACGCUAGCUACAGGCUUAACACAUGCAAGUCGAGGGGCAGCAUGGUCUUAGCUUGCUAAGGCCGAUGGCGACCGGCGCACGGGUGAGUAACACGUAUCCAACCUGCCGUCUACUCUUGGACAGCCUUCUGAAAGGAAGAUUAAUACAAGAUGGCAUCAUGAGUCCGCAUGUUCACAUGAUUAAAGGUAUUCCGGUAGACGAUGGGGAUGCGUUCCAUUAGAUAGUAGGCGGGGUAACGGCCCACCUAGUCUUCGAUGGAUAGGGGUUCUGAGAGGAAGGUCCCCCACAUUGGAACUGAGACACGGUCCAAACUCCUACGGGAGGCAGCAGUGAGGAAUAUUGGUCAAUGGGCGAGAGCCUGAACCAGCCAAGUAGCGUGAAGGAUGACUGCCCUAUGGGUUGUAAACUUCUUUUAUAAAGGAAUAAAGUCGGGUAUGGAUACCCGUUUGCAUGUACUUUAUGAAUAAGGAUCGGCUAACUCCGUGCCAGCAGCCGCGGUAAUACGGAGGAUCCGAGCGUUAUCCGGAUUUAUUGGGUUUAAAGGGAGCGUAGAUGGAUAUUUAAGUCAGUUGUGAAAGUUUGCGGCUCAACCGUAAAAUUGCAGUUGAUACUGGAUAUCUUGAGUGCAGUUGAGGCAGGCGGAAUUCGUGGUGUAGCGGUGAAAUGCUUAGAUAUCACGAAGAACUCCGAUUGCGAAGGCAGCCUGCUAAGCUGCAACUGACAUUGAGGCUCGAAAGUGUGGGUAUCAAACAGGAUUAGAUACCCUGGUAGUCCACACGGUAAACGAUGAAUACUCGCUGUUUGCGAUAUACUGCAAGCGGCCAAGCGAAAGCGUUAAGUAUUCCACCUGGGGAGUACGCCGGCAACGGUGAAACUCAAAGGAAUUGACGGGGACCCGCACAAGCAGUGGAUUAUGUGGUUUAAUUCGAAGCAACGCGAAGAACCUUACCAGCACUUGACAUCCAACUAACGAAAUAGAGAUAUAUUAGGUGCCCUUCGGGGAAAGUUGAGACAGGUGGUGCAUGGUUGUCGUCAGCUCGUGCCGUGAGGUGUCGGCUUAAGUGCCAUAACGAGCGCAACCCUUGUUGUCAGUUACUAACAGGUUCCGCUGAGGACUCUGACAAGACUGCCAUCGUAAGAUGUGAGGAAGGUGGGGAUGACGUCAAAUCAGCACGGCCCUUACGUCCGGGGCUACACACGUGUUACAAUGGGGGGUACAGAGGGCCGCUACCACGCGAGUGGAUGCCAAUCCCCAAAACCUCUCUCAGUUCGGACUGGAGUCUGCAACCCGACUCCACGAAGCUGGAUUCGCUAGUAAUCGCGCAUCAGCCACGGCGCGGUGAAUACGUUCCCGGGCCUUGUACACACCGCCCGUCAAGCCAUGGGAGCCGGGGGUACCUGAAGUGCGUAACCGCGAGGAGCGCCCUAGGGUAAAACUGGUGACUGGGGCU
rnacentral:rRNA from 1 species